CCUACGGGUGGCAGCAGUGGGGAAUAUUGGACAAUGGGCGAAAGCCUGAUCCAGCCAUGCCGCGUGUGUGAAGAAGGCCUUCGGGUUGUAAAGCACUUUCAGUGGGGAAGAAAGCCUUGGGGCUAAUACCCUCGAGGAAGGACAUCACCCACAGAAGAAGCACCGGCUAACUCCGUGCCAGCAGCCGCGGUAAUACGGAGGGUGCGAGCGUUAAUCGGAAUUACUGGGCGUAAAGCGCGCGUAGGCGGUCUGAUAAGCCGGUUGUGAAAGCCCCGGGCUCAACCUGGGAACGGCAUCCGGAACUGUCAGGCUAGAGUGCAGGAGAGGAAGGUAGAAUUCCCGGUGUAGCGGUGAAAUGCGUAGAGAUCGGGAGGAAUACCAGUGGCGAAGGCGGCCUUCUGGACUGACACUGACGCUGAGGUGCGAAAGCGUGGGUAGCAAACAGGAUUAAUACCCUGGUAGUC
rnacentral:rRNA from 1 species